UAGCCUACGGGACGCAGCAGUGGGGGAUAUUGCACAAUGGGGGAAACCCUGAUGCAGCAACGCCGCGUGAGUGAAGAAGGUUUUCGGAUUGUAAAGCUCUGUUAGCAGGGAAGAGGAAGGACGGUACCUGCAGGGGAAGCCACGGCUAACUACGUGCCAGCAGCCGCGGUAAUACGGAGGAUGCGAGCGUUAUCCGGAUUUAUUGGGUUUAAAGGGUGCGUAGGCGGAAUGCCAAGUCAGCGGUAAAAUCGCGGGGCUCAACCUCGCUCCGCCGUUGAAACUGGCGUUCUUGAGUGGGCGAGAAG
rnacentral:rRNA from 1 species